GAUGAACGCUGGCGGCGUGCUUAACACAUGCAAGUCGAACGGUGAAGGCGGAGCUUGCUCUGCUGGAUCAGUGGCGAACGGGUGAGUAACACGUGAGCAAUCUGCCCCUGACUAUGGGAUAAGCGCUGGAAACGGCGUCUAAUACUGGAUACGAGCUGCGAAGGCAUCUUCAGCAGCUGGAAAGAACUUCGGUCAGGGAUGAGCUCGCGGCCUAUCAGCUUGUUGGUGAGGUAACGGCUCACCAAGGCGUCGACGGGUAGCCGGCCUGAGAGGGUGACCGGCCACACUGGGACUGAGACACGGCCCAGACUCCUACGGGAGGCAGCAGUGGGGAAUAGUGCACAAUGGGCGAAAGCCUGAUGCAGCAACGCCGCGUGAGGGACGACGGCCUUCGGGUUGUAAACCUCUUUUAGCAGGGAAGAAGCGAAAGUGACGGUACCUGCAGAAAAAGCGCCGGCUAACUACGUG
rnacentral:rRNA from 1 species